rnacentral:rRNA from 1 species
GAUGAACGCUGGCGGCGUGCUUAACACAUGCAAGUCGAGCGAACAGACGAGGAGCUUGUUGCUCUGACGUUACGGGCGGCCGGGUGAGUAACACGUAGAUAGCCCACUUCUACGUCAUGGUUGACUACAGGAAACCGGAGCUAAUACUAGAUCAUAUUUUUAACCGCUUGGCUCAUGAGUGUUUGAACGUUUUGCUAUCGGUUAUAGAUGGAUCCGCGUCGCAUUAGCUUGUUGGUAAGGUAACGGCGUACCAAGGCAACGAUGCGUAGCCGGCCUGAGAGGGGGAUCGGCCACACUGGAACUGAGACACGGUCCAGACGCCUACGGGAGGCAGCAGUAGGGAAUCUUCCGCAAUGGGCGGAAGCUUGACGGAGCAACGCCGCGUGAGGGAUGAAGGUCUUCGGAUCGUAAAACUCUGUUAUUAUGGAAGAACAAAUGUGUAAGUAACUAUGCACGUCUUGACGGUACCUAAUCAGAAAGCCCCGGCUAACUACGUG